rnacentral:tRNA from 1 species
AGGAAUAUAGUUAAAUUAUAAUAUUUAUUUUGCAUGUAAAAGUUAUUAAAGAAUUAUUCUUA